rnacentral:rRNA from 1 species
CGGGCUUCGGCCCGGGGCAAAGCCGCGAACGGGUGAGUAACACGUGGGUAACCCACCCCGAUGACCGGGACAACCCGAGGAAACUCGGGCUAAUACCGGAUGAGCUCCUCUCCCUUGAGGGUGAGGAGGAAAGAUAGCUUCGGCCUUCGCAUCGGGACGGGCCCGCGGCGCAUUAGCUUGUUGGUGGGGUAACGGCCUACCAAGGCGACGAUGCGUAGCUGGUCUGAGAGGACGAUCAGCCACACUGGGACUGAGACACGGCCCAGACUCCUACGGGAGGCAGCAGUGGGGAAUCUUGCACAAUGCGCGAAAGCGUGAUGCAGCAACGCCGCGUGGGGGAAGAAGGCCUUCGGGUUGUAAACCCCUUUCAGUUGGGACGAAGCUUCGCCGGUUAAUAGCCGGCUGGAGUGACGGUACCUUCACAAGAAGCCCCGGCUAACUACGUGCCAGCAGCCGCGGUAAUACGUAGGGGGCUAGCGUUGUCCGGAAUCAUUGGGCGUAAAGCGCGUGUAGGCGGCCCGGUAAGUCCGCUGUGAAAGUCGGGGGCUCAACCCUCGAAUGCCGGUGGAUACUGUCGGGCUCGAGUACGGAAGAGGCGAGUGGAAUUCCUGGUGUAGCGGUGAAAUGCGCAGAUAACAGGAGGAACACCAAUUGC